CCGUGCUAGACGGGGAGAUGGCGGUGCCCUGUAACCCGCAAUCCGCCAUAGCGGGGUUGAAUUCCUGCUUGAGGUAUCAACAUGUGAGGUCUGCCUUGUUAAAGAGGCGUUGAAAAUUGGGUCCUUCGCAAUGGAAAGCUGCGAACCUGGUCAGGUCCGGAAGGAAGCAGCCAUAAGGAGUUUCUUCCAUGUGCCGAAGGGCAGCCUAAUUUGAGCUGGCUUUAGCAAGUAACGCUUGUUUGUUUUUAUCGAUAGCAGGUGCACGG
rnacentral:SRP_RNA from 1 species